UACGGGGGGGGGCAAGCGUUGUUCGGAAUUACUGGGCGUAAAGGGCUCGUAGGCGGCCAACUAAGUCCGACGUGAAAUCCCCAGGCUUAACCUGGGAACUGCGUCGGAUACUGGAUGGCUUGAGUUCGGGAGAGGGAUGCGGAAUUCCAGGUGUAGCGGUGAAAUGCGUAGAUAUCUGGAGGAACACCGGUGGCGAAGGCGGCAUCCUGGACCGACACUGACGCUGAGGAGCGAAAGCCAGGGGAGCAAACGGG
rnacentral:rRNA from 1 species